rnacentral:tRNA from 1 species
UGACUGAUGGUGUAAUGGCAGCACAACUGGUUUUGGUCCAGUUAGUCUAGGUUCGAAUCCUUGUCAGUCAA